rnacentral:rRNA from 1 species
UGGGGAAUAUUGCACAAUGGAGGGAACUCUGAUGCAGCGACGCCGCGUGAACGAAGAAGGCUUUCGAGUCGUAAAGUUCUUUUAUAUGGGAAGAUAAUGACGGUACCAUAAGAAAAAGCCCCGGCUAACUACGUGCCAGCAGCCGCGGUAAUACGUAGGGGGCUAGCGUUGUCCGGAAUCACUGGGCGUAAAGGGUUCGCAGGCGGAAAUGCAAGUCAGGUGUAAAAGGCAGUAGCUUAACUACUGUAAGCAUUUGAAACUGCAUAUCUUGAGAAGAGUAGAGGUAAGUUGAAUUUUUAGUGUAGCGUUGAAAUUCGUAGAUAUUAAAAAGAAUACCGGUGGCGAAGGCGACUUACUGGGCUCAUUCUGACGCUGAGGAACGAAAGCGUAGGUAGCAAACAGG